CAUCUUUGCACUAUUUCUGCUUUUGUUGCUUACAGAUAACGGUCAUGAUGAAACCACUGUUCUGUGCCUUUAUCAUCCUGCUGGUAUGCUGCAUUGUCAUGAAUGCUGAGGGUGCAGACACUGUAUCCUCUACAACUAAAGGCAAGACUACAGAGAAACCAGCAUCUGGUGCCAGCUCGGAUGGACUAUCUGUAAUACAGUUGCUGAUGGCCUUGAUUCCUGCUCUUCUCUGCCAAGCGUUUUAGCACCCAACACAAAUCAUUCAAGGAAGUAUUCCUGGUGUGAAGUAUUCAGAGGAAUAUAGCCUACAUCUUUGGAUCAUGAAGAAUGUGAAGAGUCUGAGACAGAACCAAGAGAUUGGCAUGUGUUGUAAAAAAAUGGUCACAGCUAGUUAAAAUUGGAUCCAUCAAAUGACCUGAAAUUGUAAAAUCACAACAAAUUAAUAAAACAAUGUUUUAAUGACA